UUUACUACCAUUUAAAAAAAGACUUUUGUUGGAUGGACCCUAAGUGUCCCAUAUCCUAUGAUUCACACUUGUUGAUAGGUAGGAAGACUGAGGCUUUGCAGAGUGUCUGAGAAGCGUAGAGGAAACAUUUCCCGAAGUCUAUGGCCUUGAUCAUCCCUAUAUUUGAGGGUCAUUCGAUCAUGUCAUAAGAUUUCCAAAAAAUCAUUCUCAAUGAAGAGGGUGUUGAAAUCAAGGAAACAUUUUAGGGCAUUCCAUAACUUUUUCCCCUUCAAGUAAUAUCACAGACAACACACACUCCUUUUCCUCCUCUGCAUCAAUCAUGUGAAAAUCCCUACAAAAUAACAAAUGGAUUUCCAAUGAUUUGUCAAUAAUUCAUUUCUAUAAAAGGGCACAUUCAUCAUUAGACACAUAGAAGUUGGAUAAAACCAAAAACCUUCCAUCCAGAGUCAACAAAAUUGAAACCCAUUUUUGAGAGUUGUUCGUGCCUCAUCUUAUAACUAAUGACAAUGAUAGGAAAUUUAGAGAUGUCAAGGGGGCCUUGGUAAGAGUUAUCUUUUCUUUUUAACAUAUUACCCACCCUGAAAUCGGCUCAACCAGAGAUAGGGUUCAACAGCUAGAAGAGCAUCACACGUCUUGCGGUGUCUGGUGCACCCUUGAUGACCCUUGAAAAUAUGGAGGACUAAGUACCGUCCAUGCCCGGUCGUUCUCAUAACCACAUCAAGUCUCCAAGGUGAACAACCUCUAGUCAAUAGAAUAAUGUAGGUAAGGGAAGUCGACAAAACGAAUCUGUAACUUUGGGAAAAGGAUUGGCUCUGAGGGUUGGGCCUAGGGGUCUGCAUCCUCAAUUCGUGGGUUGUCAACAGUCUGCCUAAGAUGCUAUCAUGGCAAGGGAGGGUAGUCGCGUGUCGAUUGGGAUACAUACCUAGGAUGUCCCCUCGCGGGGGAUUUUCCCUAGGCGACGAAGAAUCAACUCAGAACUGGUAUGGACAAGGGGAAUCUGACUAUUUAAUUAAAACAAAGCAUUGUGAUGGUCCCUGUGGAUGCUGAUGCAAUGUGAUUUCUGCAUAGUGCUCUAAAUGUCAAAGUGAAUAAAUUCAACCAAGCGCGGGUAAACGGAUAGAGACUUCAAUCCUUAGAAUCCUUGAGUUUGCAGCGAGGAUCAAGCUUAGGAAGGAUAGAGACUUGGAUAAGU
rnacentral:ncRNA from 1 species